CGGGGUGAGCGGAUGGUCGCCCCUCACCAUUUUUAAAGAAGAAGUGAAAACUUCUUUUUUUGGAAUUUUUCAUUUAUAUUUUAUAUAUUUGAAUAAUUUUAAAUUAGUAAAAUGGUGCAGGGGAGGAAAGUCCGGACUCCGUAAUUUCGCGUAUGCGAAAUAAAGAUGGUGGGUAACGCCCACGGGCCGAAAGGCCACGGAAAGUGCCACAGAGACUAUACUACCCCUCACUAUUUUGGGAACAAACGUAUUGUGUGAAGUUGUUUUCAAAAUAGUGAGGGGGAAAGGUGAAAAGUUCCAAGGUGUUAUACUGGUCGUUGGGAUAUCCUGAUCAAUAUCGCUACUUGGUUCGCUCCCUGGUGACAGGGAAGCGCGGUAAACCCCAUCUGGAGCAAGAGCAAACCCCUCACCAUUUUUUAAGUUUUAUGCACUUUGUAUAUCUUUUGAGAAAUAAAAUGACCGGUAAAUUCUACAUUGGUGAAACAAACAAUAUCAAAAAUAGGAUUGCUAGUCAUCUCAGAGGAGAAAAUAUUUCAACUAAAUAUUAUUCGAAAUAUUGGAAAUUGAUUUAUGUUGAGAUAUUUUUAUCCAAGGCAGAUGCUUUGACAAGAGAGAAGAAGUUAAAACAUCAUGCUAAUGGUUUAGUGCAUCUCAAGAAAAGAUUGAAAAAUUCUCUUGAGACUUAAAAAAUGGUGAGGGGGAAAAGUAGCUCGCUUGAGCAUUCUGGCAACAGAAUGCCUAGAUUAAUGGCCAUUACCCCUCACUAUUUUGAGAAUAACUGGAAGAUAAGAUUAAUUUUUAUCAAAGAAAAUCAAUUUUAUUUUAAAGAAGUUGUUUUCAAAAUAGUGAGGGGACAGAAUCCGGCUUAUAGCUCGCCCUGAUAU
rnacentral:RNase_P_RNA from 1 species